CAGUAUCAAAUAGGAUGGCACGUUAGGACGAUUUGUCCAACAUAAAUGAUUGUGAAUAGUCAGAAUCACAAGUAUGCGACUGUGGUGACGAAGACGGCUGAACUUUAAACAGGAAAGUCUCAUGCCAACAAUAAUUCAGAAUAGCCUUGUUUUAGUAAGUUGGUCAGAACAUGAAUAUCAUUUAAUGUCAUUUUUUUGGGCGUCUAUCCAUUUGGCAGACAGUGUCGAAGCGAAUUCCAUUUCUGACAAAAUUUGACUGUUGGCAUCAAAGAAUUAAUAGCAUUGAGUUCAGGGCAGGAGCAAUUUAUGCACUGAUGCUUUUCCAUGGAGUUUUCUCUUCCUGUUAAAUCAGCUGUUCACUAAAAAAAAAAAAAAAAAAAAAAAAAAAAAAAAAAGUAUUGCCUGCACUUGUCACAUCACAUGAUUCCAUGCUUAGACAACUCCUGAAAUUCAGAGCAUUUUUCCAGUGUCACAUACGGCAUGUCACGCCAGCUGCAACUUCGGUACGUUUUUCCUCCGAUAUUUUAAUGGGCAAACUUGAGUAAUAUAUUUCCCAAUUUCAAACCCUUCAGCACUGACAGUCCAAAACUCCUGAGGAUAUGAACUAAUGCAAAAGGCUCCGGCAGUGCUGGGCAUCUUCAGCUCUGGUCUAUCAGUGUCAAGUCCUCAAGCUCUUGAGAAAUAAUUUCACUUAUUAAAACACAUUUUCCCUCAAAAAUACUGUAAGAAAGACAAAGCUCUCAGUGACCUCUAAGAAAAUUGUUGAAUUAAGGAGAGAAGUCUAUAUAAAUCCUCCAUUUUAAGUCCUGAGAAAGUAUAAUUAAUGUAGCGAGAAAGAGUUCAGCUUUUCCUUCACAGAUUUGAAUUAUUGAAUUGAACCUGUACUUUGGGACUAUGUUACAAACACACUGCUUCCCAGCAUCUCCUUUUUCUCAAAAAUAAAGACAGACAAUGCCAACAAGUUGGAUUAGAGAAUGGAGCAUACGUGUUCAGUUUUUAGCCAAUGUCUCAGUAUCUUUUAAGACUCCCAAACCCCCCAGGAAUUUCAUGCCCCUUAAAUUGAGACUGACCAUUGCUGCAGUUGUGAUGAAUUCUUUAACAAUGUUUAAAAAUCCACUGUGUGCACUGGGCAUUUUAAUCUGAUUUCAAAGGAGUCAACACCACGGUUGGAGAUUUCUAUUGCAUUAGUGUUAAUGUACAAGAAAGAGCUACUUGAAAAUUCACUAAUUUUGGUCCCUUGGUGAUUUUAUAUCAUUUUUGCAGCAACAUUUAUCUUAAUGCCAACUCUUUAUGAAAGUAUUUAUUGAAGCAAAAUUCCUUUUUAAAAAAUUUAAGUCACAUUACUUAUUUCUCUGUGAUUUUCCAUCACAGCACAUUAGCCUUCCUUUUAAGAUAGUCGUGAUUAUUACAAAUUAGCACCAUGCCAAGUGCAGGGUCAAUAGCAGACAAAAAUCAUUCAAUUUCUUGAAAUAAAGCAACUUCAGUUUAAAGAAAAGCUGCUGACUGAGAACAUUAGGAAGGAUAACUUGCGACUUAAAGACUUGAUGUCAUUCCCUUUUUGAAAAUAUUAAGUUUUUAUUUGGUAAUAGCCCCUGGCCAUCAGGUUGCUUACAGUCCAAUGGGGGAGAGCAGGCAAAGUCUAUGGAGGAGUUAAAAUAGUAUUAAAAAGAAAGUAAUGUUCAGCGAACAAGCAAAUUUCAACUCUGUAUACUACUCUUUAAAUGGUAAGGAAUUCUUUGAAAAACCUGUCAAAGAGGCAUUUUAUCAUUCACAUCAUGUCACAUAUCCCUGCCAGUGAUCUUCCCUCCUUUCAGUCUGAAGUCCCACCCAGGCCCGCCACUCUUCAAAAAUAUCUGUACCUACGAACUUCCAAUUGCAAAAUAAAUGAGUCACAGACAUGAAACGUGCAGUGUGAGGAAUAAAGUCAACAACUGAGUAAACCUUUGUGUGGUGACACAGCAGAGCUAGACUCAUCGUGGUGACCAGUGUGAAAUGCAUAGAGAAAAAUCCACUCUGUUGCGCCCCAGGAACGAACAGAGUAUCGCAGCUCGAUCACACUUCAAGAAUAAACAAACAAAUAUAGAAAAAAGAGGUCAACGCAUAGAAAAAGAGGUCUGAUUUGUGGUUACCAGCGAAGAAGGGCGGCAAGGGGGAGCAUUAGAUGAAGGCAGUCAAAAGGUACAACCGGAGUUCCCGUCGUGGUGCAGUGGUUGACGAAUCCGACUAGGAACCAUGAGGUUGCGGGUUCGGUCCCUGCCCUUGCUCAGUGGGUUAACAAUCCGGCGUUGCCGUGAGCUGUGGUGUAGGUUGCAGACGCAGCUCGGAUCCCGCGUUGCUGUGGCUCUGGCAUAGGCCGGUGGCUACAGCUCCGAUUCGACCCCAGCCUGGGAACCUCCAUGUGCCGCAGGAGCGGCCCAAGAAAUAGCAAAAAGACAAAAAAAAAAAAAAAAAAAAGUAAAAAAUAAACAAGUAUUAGGGAUCUAGUGUACAAUAUGAUAAAUACCAUGAAUAUUGUUGUGUGUUACAUAUCAAAGUCGUUAAGAGUAAAUUUUAGGAGUUCUCAUCACACACACAACUUUGUUCUUUUUCUCUGAGUUUGUACCUAGAUGAAAUGGUGGGAGUUCGUGAAACAUCGUGAAAAUCAUUUCUGAUGUAGGUAAGUGAAAUCACUACUUAUUUUCUAGGUUUAUUUUGAGAAAUAAACGACUUAACAUCGCUCAAGCGUUUAGGACAAACCAAGUCGUGUUUAUGGAUGUUCGCUUCUAUCAGCUGUUAUCAUGCCACAAAUGAGGGGUGUUCAGGGAUUGAGAACCCUCUUUGAGGGUUCUCUCUAUUUACAAUCAAGAAGGUGAUGCCUUAAAAAGAUCUCAGUUUCCUGACAUCUUCAAUGAACCUAUGCUCUUCCACACCCCAACCCAGAAAGGAAUACACUUCAGAACUGCUCCAGGAGGCACUAGUCUGACGGCAAAUUACUGUAGCUAAUGUAAUGAGAGAUGCUUCAGACCUCGAGGGGUUUGCUUCUUUGGAAGAGGUCACCAACCAGAAAACUUCCUGUUUGUUUACUGAUUGAAAAAGGAGAAAAUACCAAGUUUACAGCUUAAUAAAACGACCCGUGAGAACUCAUAAGCUGAUUCAUAUGAAGAGGAAAACCUGAAAUGCCAACCCUUUCUUUGUUUAUAUCACCUUUCUUUGUUCAUUUCUCCAUUCACAGUUGCAGCUGCUGGUGGAAAUGCAGCAUAUUCCCUGCCUGAGGCCAGACUCCAAACGCGCUGGUGUUUGUAAACAUCAUUGAUUCACUGAGUCACUUAGACUCCAAAGUAUAAUUUUCUGAGUUUGAACAUCAGGGUCUAGACACAAUAAAAGGUAAUCUCAAACCUCAUUUGUAUUUGAAAGUAAUUGUACAGGCUAUGUGCGUACUGUACAUUCCAGCCUUCUGAAAAAGAGGCUAACCGGUGAGGUGCAGCCUUCGGUGGAAAUGCUAUUUCCAGUAUAUCAUUACUAUUUGUUACGGCAUUCCUGAUUUUGGAUAAUCAUAGGGGAAAACACACAGAAAAGCCACGAAGCCAUAAAUCUCAAGCAAACUUGAGGGAAGGGGGGAGCAGCUAGCCUCUCGCUAUACAGCAGGUUCCCAACAGGCUCUUCAGGCACGCGGAGGGUCUCAGUGAAUUUGAAUGUGCUGUGUGCCACGAUUUUCUCUUUACUAAAUCACUCUGCCUGCUCUAUGAUCUCCAGUAGCAAUGUGCUUUUUAAAACUCUGUUCCAAAUAUUUGAAUUAAGAAUCCUACAUCUUGACUCUUGGGGGUAUAGAAAUAAGUUUUCCUUCAUCUGCAAUGUAGUAUGAUAAUUAACUUCCACGUAUAUUUAUAAACAUAUAAUUAUACAUGGCAUAUAUAUAAUUUGAGUACCCUGACACCGAUUAAAAGGCCCCAGAUGAUGGGGCAGGUUCUGACUCUUCCAGGCUCAUCUCAUGCUCCUCUUCUCUUUAUUCUUUGCCUUCCAACCGACUACCUUCAGAAAUUGCUUGCAAUGGCCAGUCCGCUUUCUAGCAUCUUAGGAACUUCUAUACAUGCGUUCCAUCUAUCUGGAAAACACUCCUGUCCCACUCUGCAUCUGGCUACCUGCAACUCAUUUUUGUUCAGAAUCUAAUGUAAAUAUCUGCUCACUCCUUUGCUCAUUCAUUUAUUAAUUCAGUCAAGCAACAGGUGUUAAUGGAACACAUGCCAAGGUUAGGACGUGUGAAACAUUGGGUCUGUGAACACAGGAGGUAAGGCCCUCAGUUUCAUGGAGCUAACAGUCUGAUGAGGAAAAAACACAAUGAAUAAUUACAUAAAGUCACGUAUAGCAUAAUUAUGACAACACAUACAACAUAAUUAUGACAAAAUUUUGGAGGUAUACAAUAGACUUCUAGGAGAGAGAAAAAUAAAGAGGAUCUAAUUUAAGUGAGCCUGGGAUGAGAUGCUGGAGGAGCAUAUGAAAGUCUCUGGUGAGUUCCCAUCGUGGCUCAGUGGAAACAAAUCUAACUAGUAUCUGUGAGGAUGCAGGUUUGGUCCCUGGCCUCGCUCCGUGGGUUGGGGAUCCAGUGUUGCCGUGAGCUGUGGUGUAGGUCGUAGAUGCAGCUCGAAUCUGCCCUUGCUGUGGCGUAGGCCUGUGGCUGUGGCUCCAACUGGACCCCUGGCCUGGGAACCUCCAUGUACCGUAGGUACGGCCCUAAAAAGACGAAAGAAGAAAGAAAGACAAAUGAUAGUGGGAAAGCUUCCAGGUGUGGGACACAGCACAAGGACCCUGACCUCCUUCAUAAAACCAGUUGUACGUUUUGUGUUGUUAUUGCAUUCUACUCUCUUUUGCAGCCUUAAUUACAAUAGCAAUGAAGCAAUCAUUUGUGAAAUGCUUGCCUCUUCUGCUAGACCGUGACUCUCCUAAGACAGUAAUAGCAUCUGCCUUGUUCUUUCCUCCAUCCCGAGCACUAAGCACAGCGAGGGCGGAUCCAUGGUGGGUGGAGAACGAAGGUCAGCCAAAGAACUGGAUGAAGUGCGUGGUGUUCAUGGACUGAGGAGGUCUGAACGGCAAGUGCUGAACUGUUAGUUUUAAACAAUAAUGAAGCCCUACUUAAAUCCGUACAAUGUACUUAGUUCUACUCUGCCGAUUAAAAAGAAAAUAAAAUAAAUCCUGCAUGUUGGCUGGGGGUACUGGUGGGCAUUAUACUGAAGGGGAAAUUCAGAAGUGGAAAUACUGACUCAUUCUCAAUUCCCA
rnacentral:lncRNA from 1 species